UCUCCCUCUACCUAAUCACUUUCUCUCUCUUAUCUUCUCUCUCAACAAAACAACCACCACCAUCACCACUCCACCAGAACCACCACCGUCAUCGCCGCACCAACAUCGUAGCACCACCACCUCUACCAACACCGCAGCACCACCACCAUUGUAGCCCCUCCACCACCGUUGCACCACAUCGGAAAAUGCUACCGAAGAAUGAAAGCCAAAUCGGAGACGAUUAAAGCUCACCUGUGACUACUACCUUACACCGUUGUUGUCAGUCACCAUUUACCUGCACUAUUUUCUGGUCAUCGAUCUUUAUUUCUCCAUAUUUGUUGGACACUAGAGACCAUUUUCUGAUUUGUGGCACAUGAAAGCAAGGACCAUCCAAAAAUGGAAUCAAGGUUAUAAAAUGGAUCUCAUCUUCAUUGAUGAAAAGGGUGCUAAGUUUUAAGGAAGUAUUAAAAGUUAUUCGAUACCUGUUUUUAAUGGACAACUUCAAGAAGAUGUUGUUAUUCUGUCGAAAUUCGGUGUUGGUGAAAAUAAAGAUUUAUAUAAAGAUGUUGCUGGAUCUGUGGUUUGGUGUGGAGAUCUUGAAUUCGUUGGCCGACCUCCAAAAGAAACUAAGAGGAUGAAUAACGAUAUUCAAGACUUGGAGGUUACGGUUUUGUGAUGUACUGUGUGGAAUGAUUAUGCUCUGCAGUUUAACGAAUUCAUCUCUAAAAUGCCAGCUCAUGAGCAUGUGAUGGCUGUUAUACAGCAUGGAACGCGUAAAGAAAUUGAAAGGUUGUUGGUGAUGUUAUGGAAGGAUUCUGGAGGAAGUCUGAAUGGAAAGUAAAAACCACUUAUUUUGAAGACUCUUUGUGGUUUUUAUUUAUGUUUGUUAACUUUUGUUUUAACCUGCUGUGGUUAAAAGUUUGGUAUAUUAUAGCUACAAUUUGAAUCAUCUAAACUGAUGAAUUUGGUAUGUAAUUGCUACAAUUUGAAUAUUAUUGUUGAAUUCAUGUGUUUCACAAGUAGUAGGGUUGUAUAUUAUUGUUAGUGGAUGCAUGCAAAUAUAAUGAAUUGGUUAGUAGGAAAAUUGUUAGGAUCUGAGAUACAUUAACAUUUGUUAGAGGCUAAGCACUAUUACAGAUUCCUAACAUCUGCUAGGCCCUAAGCACUGUUAGGAUCUGAGCUACAUUAGGAUCUGUUGAACAGACUUUGCUUCAACAGACCUUAUCAUCUGUUGAUCAUCAUCUGUUAAAGCUCUUAUGUUAAACAUCCUCUGUUGAACUACAUCAUCUGUUAAUCCAUAGCAGACGUUAGAUUCAUCAUACUUUUGCAUUCAUCAUACUUCUAUUUAACCUGCUUCUCUCUCACA